CUGAGACUGAACGCUCUCCUAUUUUUGUUUUAUUACUUUGGCGCAAGAUACGUUACCAGCUGUUUAUUUUACUAAGAAGAAAAUGGUGCAAAACCAACUGAUAACUAGCCACCUUUUUCCUUCGCUGAAAAAUCAAGGAAGAUUUAUUGAUUUCCUUUAGUAUUGGGUUUGCUUAAAGGAAGUGGAACCAUGGAUUGGUUUACUUUACACACUUUUUACCUUAACAAAUCAAGCAUUUUUAAAUUGCAACUCUUAUUAAGUUAUUUAUAUUUUAAUUAUUAACGCUUAUACAGCCGAGGCAGAAGCAGAAAUAACGACAACGAUAAUCUAUAAAUACAUUUAGAAGGUUAAAACAUUAACUCAGUACCAAAAUGAAUCUGAGACUGAACGCUCUUCUGUUUUUGAUUUGCGGCUUUGGCGCAAGGUGGUCCUUUUCUAGAACAGCGGAAUCAAAAUAGAGCCUGCAUCAUUUUAACAAUGGAAAUAUAUUGGAUGUGUAAUAAUCUUAUUAAGUACUAAAUAAGCUACAUUGUCUUAAUUUUAAUUGGUAUAUUAUUAAAAUAUAUAUAAUCGUAGAUACUACAUGCUAAA